GUGGGGAAUAUUGCACAAUGGGGGAAACCCUGAUGCAGCGACGCCGCGUGGAGGAUGACGGCCUUCGGGUUGUAAACUCCUUUUGUCAGGGACAAUGGUGAUGGUACCUGACGAAUAAGCCACGGCUAACUCUGUGCCAGCAGCCGCGGUAAGACAGAGGUGGCGAGCGUUGUUCGGAAUUACUGGGCUUAAAGGGCGCGUAGGCGGUGGUGUAAGUCUGGGGUGGAAUGCUACAGCUCAACUGUAGAGCUGCCUUGGAAACUGCAUUACUUGAGUCGGUGAGGGGAAGGCGGAAUUCCUGGUGUAGCGGUGAAAUGCGUAGAUAUCAGGAGGAAGGUCUGUGGCGAAGGCGGCCUUCUGGCACUUGACUGACGCUGAGGCGCGAAAGCGUGGGGAGCAAACAGGAUUAGAUACCCCAGUAGUCC
rnacentral:rRNA from 1 species